rnacentral:rRNA from 1 species
GUCUAUGGCUAUGCUACCCUGAACAUGCCCGAUCUCGUCUGAUCUCGGAAUCUUAAGCAGGGUUGGGCCUGGUUAGUUCUUGGAUAGGAGACCACCCUUGGAAUACCAGGUGCUGUAGGCA